rnacentral:rRNA from 1 species
GAUGAACGCUGGCGGCGUGCCUAAUACAUGCAAGUCGAGCGAACAGACGAGGAGCUUGCUCCUCUGACGUUAGCGGCGGACGGGUGAGUAACACGUGGAUAACCUACCUAUAAGACUGGGAUAACUUCGGGAAACCGGAGCUAAUACCGGAUAAUAUAUUGAACCGCAUGGUUCAAUAGUGAAAGACGGUUUUGCUGUCACUUAUAGAUGGAUCCGCGCCUCAUUAGCUAGUUGGUAAGGUAACGGCUUACCAAGGCAACGAUGCGUAGCCGACCUGAGAGGGUGAUCGGCCACAUGGGAACUGAGACAGGGUCCAGACUCCUACGGGAGGAAGCAGUAGGGAAUCUUCCGCAAUGGGCGAAAGCCUGACGGAGCAACGCCGCGUGAGUGAUGAAGGUGUUCUGAUCGUAAAACUAUGUUAUUAGGGAAGAAGAAAUGUGUAAGUAACUAUGCACGUAUUGACGGUACCUAAUCAGAAAGCCACGGCUAACUACGUG